UGGGGAAUAUUGCGCAAUGGGGGGAACCCUGACGCAGCCAUGCCGCGUGAAUGAAGAAGGCCUUAGGGUUGUAAAGUUCUUUCGGUAUUGAGGAAGGUUGAUGUGUUAAUAGCACAUCAAAUUGACGUUAAAUACAAAAGAAGCACCGGCUAACUCCGUGCCAGCAGCCGCGGUAAUACGGAGGGUGCGAGCGUUAAUCGGAAUAACUGGGCGUAAAGGGCACGCAGGCGGUUAUUUAAGUGAGGUGUGAAAGCCCCGGGCUUAACCUGGGAAUUGCAUUUCAGACUGGGUAACUAGAGUACUUUAGGGAGGGGUAGAAUUCCACGUGUAGCGGUGAAAUGCGUAGAGAUGUGGAGGAAUACCGAAGGCGAAGGCAGCCCCUUGGGAAUGUACUGACGCUCAUGUGCGAAAGCGUGGGGAGCAAACAGGAUUAGAUACCCUGGUAGUCCACGCUGUAAACGCUGUCGAUUUGGGGGUUGGGGUUUAACUCUGGCGCCCGUAGCUAACGUGAUAAAUCGACCGCCUGGGGAGUACGGCCGCAAGGUUA
rnacentral:rRNA from 1 species